rnacentral:tRNA from 1 species
AGGAAAAUAGUUAAAUUAACAUUUGAUUUGCAUUCAAAAAAUAUUGAAAUUAUUCAAUUUUUCUUA